rnacentral:rRNA from 1 species
UACGAAGGGAACUAGCGUUGUUCGGAAUCACUGGGCGUAAAGCGCGCGUAGGCGGUCUGUUAUGUCGGAUGUGAAAGCCCUCGGCUCAACUGAGGAAGUGCAUCCGAAACUGGCAGGCUAGAGUACUAAAGAGGGUCGCGGAAUUCCCGGUGUAGAGGUGAAAUUCGUAGAUAUCGGGAGGAACACCGGUGGCGAAGGCGGCGACCUGGGUAGAUACUGACGCUGAGGUGCGAUAGCGUGGGGAGCAAACAGG